GUAAUAUAUAGAUAACCUGCCCUUAAGAAAGGAAUAACAGUUGGAAACGACUGCUAAUGCCCUAUAUGCCUUUAAUACAUAAGUAUGCAAGGGAAACGCCUUAGUGCUUAAGGAUGGGUCUGUAUGGUAUCAGCUUUGUUGGUGAGGUAAUGGCUCACCAAGGCUAUGACGCCUAACUGGUUUGAGAGGAUGAUCAGUCACACUGGAACUGAGACACGGUCCAGACUCCUACGGGAGGCAGCAGUGGGGAAUAUUGCACAAUGGACGAAAGUCUGAUGCAGCAACGCCGCGUGGAGGAUGACACAUUUCGGUGCGUAAACUCCUUUUAUAUAGGAAGAUAAUGACGGUACUAUAUGAAUAAGCACCGGCUAACUCCGUGCCAGCAGCCGCGGUAAUACGGAGGGUGCAAGCGUUACUCGGAAUCACUGGGCGUAAAGAGCGUGUAGGCGGGUAUAUAAGUCAGAAGUGAAAUCCUAUAGCUUAACUAUAGAACUGCUUUUG
rnacentral:rRNA from 1 species